rnacentral:rRNA from 1 species
GAUGAACGCUGGCGGCGUGCCUAAUACAUGCAAGUCGAGCGAACGGACGAGAAGCUUGCUUCUCUGAUGUUAGCGGCGGACGGGUGAGUAACACGUGGAUAACCUACCUAUAAGACUGGGAUAACUUCGGGAAACCGGAGCUAAUACCGGAUGAUAUUUUGAACCGCAUGGUUCAAAAGUGAAAGACGGUCUUGCUGUCACUUAUAGAUGGAUCCGCGCUGCAUUAGCUAGUUGGUAAGGUAACGGCUUACCAAGGAAACGAUGCAUAGCCGACCUGAGAGGGUGAUCGGCCACACUGGAACUGAGACACGGUCCAGACUCCUACGGGAGGCAGCAGUAGGGAAUCUUCCGCAAUGGGCGAAAGCCUGACGGAGCAACGCCGCGUGAGUGAUGAAGGUCUUCGGAUCGUAAAACUCUGUUAUUAGGGAAGAACAUAUGUGUAAGUAACCGUGCACAUCUUGACGGUACCUAAUCAGAAAGCCACGGCUAACUACGUG